UACGGAGGGGACUAGCGUUGUUCGGAAUUACUGGGCGUAAAGCGCACGUAGGCGGAUUUGUAAGUCAGGGGUGAAAUCCCGGGGCUCAACCUCGGAACUGCCUUUGAUACUGCAAAUCUCGAGUCCGGAAGAGGUGAGUGGAAUUCCUAGUGUAGAGGUGAAAUUCGUAGAUAUUAGGAAGAACACCAGUGGCGAAGGCGGCUCACUGGUCCGGUACUGACGCUGAGGUGCGAAAGCGUGGGGAGCAA
rnacentral:rRNA from 1 species